UGAAAAACGUUUUAGRUGCCUGGCUCAGGACUAACGCUGGCGGCGUGCCUAAUAAGAACCAAGCGGAGAGAAGGGAGCUUGGAUUAAAGGGACUGCGGCGGACGGGUGAGUAACACGUGGGCAACCUGCCCCCGUGACUGGGAUAACUCCGGGAAACCGGAGCUAAUACCGGAUAAUCCCUUUCUCCACCUGGGGAGAGGGUGAAAGAUGGCUUCAGCUAUCACUAGGGGAUGGGCCCGCGGCGCAUUAGCUAGUUGGUAAGGUAACGGCUUACCAAGACGACGAUUUUUUUUUCGACCUGAGAGGGUGAUCGGCCACACUGGGACUGAGACACGGCCCAGACUCCUACGGGAGGCRGCAGUAGGGAAUCUUCCCGCAAUGGACGAAAGUCUGACRGAGCACCGCCGCGUGAGUGAGAAAGGCCUUUCCGGGUCGUAAAACUCUGUGUUGAGGGGAAGAAGCCGGUACCCUUCGAAAAAGGGGGGGUACCUUGGAGGGGCCUCACCAGAAAGCCCACGGGUUUAAUUACUUUKCGACAGGCGCGGGUAUACAUUAGUGGGGAACGGGUUUCCCGAAAUAUUGGGGGGGAAAAGGCGGCCGGGGGGCUCCCUAAACCUAAAGUGAAAACCCGGGGGUCCCACCCAGCAGGGCGCUUAGGGAG
rnacentral:rRNA from 1 species